rnacentral:misc_RNA from 1 species
CUGUCGUAACAAGGUCUCCGUAGGUGAACCUGCGGAGGGAUCAUUACUGAAUGGCCACUAGGCCUUCAACCUUGCAAACCUGUGGAAGCAAGAUGUGCUUCGGCGCUUCGGCGCCGCUUUUAUGCCUUAAUCAGUCUAUGUGUCUGAAUCAAAUACAAGAAAUAAAA